UGGACAUUUAUUUUUAUUCAGUUUCUUCUCAAGGUGAAGAUAACACUUUAUAAAUGUCCUAGAGAAAUAUAGUAGCUUUCUGUUCACCCUUUGCAAGUUAAAAGGGUGUAUCGUUCCACUACUGACAUUU
rnacentral:snoRNA from 13 species